rnacentral:lncRNA from 1 species
CCAGCGUUGCCAGCUUGGAGAGAAGGUCGGCCCUGGUAUUUUCCAUUCUCGAAAUCUGCCUGAUGUUGAAGCUACUGAAGGUGGGGACGAGCUCCUUUACCUUUUCAAGAUACUUAGCCAUGCUGUCCUCCCAUGCUUCGUAGUUUUCGUUGACUUGUCCCACUACUAGUUGGGAGUCGCUGUGGACUUGGAGCCGAUCUACUCCCAGCUCUUUGGCGAUCUUCAG